UACGGAGGGAGCUAGCGUUAUUCGGAAUUACUGGGCGUAAAGCGCACGUAGGCGGCUUUGUAAGUAAGAGGUGAAAGCCCAGAGCUCAACUCUGGAAUUGCCUUUUAGACUGCAUCGCUUGAAUCAUGGAGAGGUCAGUGGAAUUCCGAGUGUAGAGGUGAAAUUCGUAGAUAUUCGGAAGAACACCAGUGGCGAAGGCGGCUGACUGGACAUGUAUUGACGCUGAGGUGCGAAAUCGUGGGGAGCAAACAGG
rnacentral:rRNA from 1 species